GGUUUUUAAGAAAAAUAAUAAUUGCUUCUUUUGUAAGAAACCUGGUCACAAGCAAAGAGAUUGUGUCAAAUUCCAUGCCUGGAUAAAAAAGAAGGAGUCAAAAGAAGGGGUUCACAAACAAAAGGAAGCCAAAGGAAACGGAGUCAAAAAUUAGAGUCGCCACAGAUGUCCAAGUUGAAGUAGAGUUUAUAGGAACAGUAGUUUUAGACUUAGAAACUGGUUUUAAACUUGUUCUGGAAAACACUUUUUAUGUACCGUCUUUCAGACGGAAUUUGAUUUCUCUUCCUCUUUUAGAUAGAGUUGGUUUUGGUUUUAGUUCUCUCAAUGGAAAAGUUAAUUUGCUUCUGAA